UCCCUAUAAAUUCACGUGCCUGCGGCUGAC
rnacentral:piRNA from 1 species